rnacentral:rRNA from 1 species
GGGUUGUGAGGUUAAGCGACUAAGCGUACACGGUGGAUGCCCUGGCAGUCAGAGGCGAUGAAGGACGUGCUAAUCUGCGAUAAGCGUCGGUGAGGUGAUAUGAACCGUUAUAACCGGCGAUUUCCGAAUGGGGAAACCCAGUGUGUUUCGACACACUAUCAUUAACUGAAUCCAUAGGUUAAUGAGGCGAACCGGGGGAACUGAAACAUCUAAGUACCCCGAGGAAAAGAAAUCAACCGAGAUUCCCCCAGUAGCGGCGAGCGAACGGGGAGCAGCCCAGAGCCUGAAUCAGUGUGUGUGUUAGUGGAAGCGUCUGGAAAGGCGCGCGAUACAGGGUGACAGCCCCGUACACAA